rnacentral:lncRNA from 1 species
CAGACAAGCUCGAAAUGCACCAGCAUACUUCAGAAACAUUAAUGGAACAAAACUCAACCAAAAGUUAAAUAAAAUGGGUUCAAAUAAGCUUGUGAUUUAAUCCAAUUAAACCAGAUAACCCUCACAAACAGAAGCAAACCACCAAACUUGACUAGACCUUACUUUGACUUGAAAUACACCAAAAACACUUCUGAAAUUGUUAAUAGGUCAACUGAAGAGUGAAAUCAGUUUAGAACUCCUGAUGAAACAGUUUGAUUUUUUGAUUUUUUGUAGAUUUCUAUUGUUUUUGUGUUUUUGAGUAUGAAGAAGACUAAAAUCUAAAGGUAUUGCAUGAACUGAAAUUUUUAAAUCUAGAGAAUUAGGAGUAUUUUUAGGGAAUUUUCUGGCUGAGGACGAAUGGAAGGAAGAAGCCCCUUUUACAAGCAAUGAGGGACUCAAUUUAUAGGUCAUUCUAGGGUAAAGGAUCAGAUUUUGGUUUUCUAUUUUAGUCCCUGCCCCUUUUUCACUUUAAACCUUAAUUGUUCCUCAAGUUACUCCCUAAGUUUUACAGAAAUCUACACUAAAGCCUUAUUCUGGGAACCCAUUUUUCACUUUAAACCUUAAUUUUCUAACUUGUUCCUUAAGUUACUCCCUACGUUUUACUGAAAUCUAGACUAAAGUCCUAUUCUAUGAGCUUCUAGGAUGCUCUUUUAGCCCUAAAAUACCCAUGCUACCCAUUAACCUAUAUUGCAAUUACCAAUUCUCAAAAUAUUACCCUUUUUCAUACCCAAAUUACCCUUUAAACAGUCUGAACAUUACAGACGUGAAUUAACUGCACCCAAUCCCUCACCCCAGUUAUGAUUUAACUAAAGUUAACUAAAAUCAGCCAUACCCGAUCAAUCUAACCUAGUAAUGAACUAAUUAACACUAACAAUGACUGAAAAUAAACUAAUACUUAACUGAAACUAAUCCAAAACGAGUUCCAAAUUUAACUUCAAACAAACAAGAUAAAAUGAAAAUCUAAUUACACUGAUGACUAAUUAGCACUUAACAAUUGAGCGUUCCAGCUAUCAACAAUCAAAAUUGAACCAGAAUUUAAAACAAAGAGAUGAAAAUCAGUCUAAAAUGAAUUAAACCUAAACACGGAUAACAAAUCAAAGAAGAAGAAUUGAUGCUAAAAUUCGACUGAAAAACUACAACUAUGCUUAAUUGAAUAGAAUUCGGUCAAGUCCCCAAAUAAGUAUCAUAUGAACCAAACAAGGUAAAAUCCCAUUAAACUAACGGCUAAUUGACCAAUUGAUGCUGAGCAUUCAAACUUAGCAAAAGAAUCAAAAUAAGGUCAGAAUUUGGCCAAAGAAGUGAAGAUUAACCCAAAAUUAACCAAAACAUUUACGACCAUUAUGGCGACUUAGUUAUGAAUUAAGAAUGAUGCUUGAACGAACAGACCUAACACUGAAUCAAAAAAGAAAACUAAAGAAAAUGGAGAGAAGAAAACACUUACUGAAUUUUGGCCUUCAUGCACAUCUUUGAAACUAACUUAAAUUUAGUAUGAUACGUCCAUUUUCCUCCUAUAAUACUAGCCUGAGUUAGCUCUACCAACGAAACUAACUUAAAGUUAGUAUGAUAUGUCCAUUUUACUCGAAAUAAACCUAUAAUACUAGCCUGAGUUAGCUCAACAUUGACAAAUCACGGAGUGGCUAGGCACAACGAUUCCUAGAUUUGAAAUUGGGGGUGGCUUGGUAAGAUUCAAGAAUUUCUGGGUGGGAUUAGUAAUGAGGGAGGGACGGGGAGUAUAUGGUAUGCAUUUGGAUUAAUUUGGGCCAACUUGUGACUUGGCCGGAAGAUCAAAAUUGAAGAUUCGAAGACGCGGACUACGAUUCAAAGAUUUUCAAGCAUGGAUUCAUGACGAGGGAGAUGAGGGGAAGCUGUGGUGUCAUUUUUGGAGUUAUUGGCAUCGUCGCCGCCACCGGCGGCCUUGGGAUUUAGUGGCGGCGCAACUAGGGUUUGUGAGGUUCUCUGAGAGAUGGGGGGACGAAGGAGAU